CUGACAGCGGCGGCCGCGGGAGGAGGAGCGGGAGUCGCGGGAGGAUGGGCCGCCGCUAGGCUCGCACUCGGGACGCGCCUCGCCGUGCGCAGGGUGGGGGCCCGCGCCUGCAGCGUCCGCGGGGGCGGCGCGGCGGGAGGUGGCGAUCGGCUCCCGGCCUUGCAGCCACAAGCCCCCGGCCCACUGGGCCUUUCCGCGGCGCCGCCUGGCUGAGCCGCCCGCCCGCCCCGGGUCCCUCGCGGGCAGGAGAACGGAAAACUCCCAACUUCCUGAGUUCUAAAGUUCCUGUUGCUUCAGACAAUGGAUGAACAAUCACAAGGAAUGCAAGGGCCACCUGUUCCCCAGUUCCAACCACAGAAGGCUUUACGACCGGAUAUGGGCUAUAAUACAUUAGCCAACUUUCGAAUAGAAAAGAAAAUUGGUCGCGGGCAAUUUAGUGAAGUUUAUAGAGCAGCCUGUCUCUUGGAUGGAGUACCAGUAGCUUUAAAAAAAGUGCAGAUAUUUGAUUUAAUGGAUGCCAAAGCACGUGCUGAUUGUAUCAAAGAAAUCGAUCUCCUUAAGCAACUCAACCAUCCAAAUGUAAUUAAAUAUUAUGCAUCAUUCAUUGAAGAUAAUGAACUUAACAUAGUUUUGGAAUUAGCUGAUGCUGGUGAUCUAUCCAGAAUGAUAAAGCAUUUUAAGAAACAAAAGAGGCUAAUUCCUGAAAGGACUGUUUGGAAGUACUUUGUUCAACUCUGCAGUGCGUUGGAACACAUGCAUUCUCGACGAGUCAUGCAUAGAGAUAUAAAACCCGCUAAUGUGUUCAUUACAGCCACUGGAGUGGUCAAACUUGGAGAUCUUGGGCUUGGUCGGUUUUUCAGCUCCAAAACCACAGCUGCACAUUCUUUAGUGGGUACACCUUAUUACAUGUCUCCAGAGAGAAUACAUGAAAAUGGAUACAACUUCAAAUCUGACAUCUGGUCUCUUGGCUGUCUACUGUAUGAGUUUCAUUGGGAGCAUUUUACAGAUGGCUGCAUUACAGAGUCCUUUCUAUGGUGACAAAAUGAAUUUGUACUCGCUGUGUAAGAAGAUAGAGCAGUGUGACUACCCACCUCUUCCUUCAGAUCACUAUUCAGAGGAACUACGACAGUUAGUGAAUAUGUGCAUCAACCCAGAUCCAGAGAAGCGACCAGACAUCACCUACGUUUAUGACGUAGCCAAGAGGAUGCAUGCGUGCACCGCAAGCAGCUAAAUACGUGGAAGACGAUGAAGAACGUAACCAAAAUAAUUUAAAGUAUUUUUGUGCAAAUCAUACCUCCCCGUUUUUGUCUGGGUGUUAAGAUGAAUCUUUCAGAGCUAAUGUGCUUUGAAUCCUUAACCAGUUUCAUAUAAGCUUCAUUUUGUACCAGUUUAAGUCACCUUCCUGUAAACCCCAAAUGACUUUGGAUAGUCAGACAGCAUGUUAGGAGAGUAAAUGAAACUUAAUGGUUUUUAAUGGCUAAAGGUUUUUAGAAUUAUUUAGAUUUUUUUUUUUUUUCUGAUAAAUUGUGUUCAGAUAGACUCUCAGUGCCAAAUAUUGAAGGUGCAGCUUGGCACUCAUCGAGAUAGACUUGUAACCUGAGGAAAAAUAUCUGAACAUGUGACUUGUUUGCUCUUUCGUCAUUUAUGGACAUUUGAGAUUAACACAAUUGUGAACUUUUGUGAUUAUUUUAUUUUUAAAAGUUUGAAGUAUGUGUUUUAGUUCUUAGCAUUGUAGUUUUCCAGUAUAAUUCUUAAGAUAAAUGUAGACAUAAACUAUUUGAGGAGACACUUAAAAUUCUUAGCUUAUACAUUCAAAAUGCAACUCUUAAAUGUGAAAAAAUUGGGGGACAAAAUGUGAGUCAGACACUGAAGAGUUCUUUGCUUUAUUUUGUUUUGUUUUAAUAUCUCUGAUAGUCUCUUUGCAUUAAAAUGGUAUAAAUGAAUCCAUUUAAAAAGUGGUUAAGGAUUUGUUUGGCUGGUGUGACAGUAAUUUUGAAAGUUGCACAUUGCCCGAGGCUUUUUUUGUGUGUUUUUAUUAUUGUUUGUACAUUUGAAAAAAUCUUUGCAUAAUCUUACAGUACUAUAUUUCAAGCUCUUUUUAAAUUUAAAUUCUCUCUUCAUAAUGUACACUAGAGUGUACGCAUAUGUUUUUAUUCAUAGAUUUUGUUGAAGUUCUGAUUGGCCCCCUUCAGAAAUUUGUUUGUAUUCUUCAAGUUACUUUCUUAUUUAUGUUAUAUGUGCAUUUUAUCCAUUAUGUUUCAGAUUUUCUGAGAACAUAAUACCCUUUAAAAAAUAUUUGGUAUACCAACACUUUUCCUGGAUUAAAAACAUUUUUUUUAACUUUUUAAAAUUUGGGCCACCCUGUAUGCGUGUAUUUUGUUUUGUUAGAGAGGAAGAAAGGGAUGUGUGUUGUCGUGUACCUGUGAAUGUUGACACAGUUUCAAUUCAUUUGACAAGGUUGUAAUUUUAGAAUAUGUUUAAAGCAAUGAAAACUGGCCAUUACCACAGCCAGAAUUUUUAUAAGAUUAACAUUUCUGUUGAGAAGCUUUUAAGUAAAGUACUGUAUUCAUGCAUGAAGAUGACAGAGAUGGUAACGCUUCAUUUAGUUUAAGGAAAUGGGCAGAGUUUCGUAAAUGCUGUUGUGGAGAUAUGUUUUCCCCUAAUGCCUUCAUGUUAGCUGCGACCAGUUCUUCACAGAAUCGUGAAAGCCAUAAAAGGCCGAGUGGCAGUCGCCUUUCAAGGACGCCAUGCCACCCUGUAACCCUGGGAUGGAUAAUCCUGCCAACGUGAAAACCUCAUGUUCGGAGAAUACCUACCUUUAGCUUAUGUAACUCCUGGUUUUGUUCUCUCAUAUAAGUAUUUUUCUUACAAUCAUUUGAAUACUCUCAAGUCAUUUGUAAACUUCAAAAAUGGCUUAUAAAGGGCAAAAGCAUAAACUUUUUUUUCCCCCCAAAAUGUAAUCAGUUAUGGUAUCUGAAGGGUAAUUUUAUCAUGGGAUAGACAGAGGACACCUGGGUGGUCCUUUAAAUGAGGGCCGGAUACAUUGUUUUUACCAGAUUCCAGUUACUUACAGCUUUUACACUGAGCAUCCAUAGAUUUGUCUCCAGAAGUAUGAGUAAGUAGAAUUAUGUUUGUUGACCAUUAGUGUCAUGUUCAUUUUAUUAUAAUAUAAUUGAGAGGAAAUUGUUCUGUAGUUGGAACAGAUAAUCUUCUUUUUCUUGCAAUCUAUAAAAAUACCUGAAUCUAAAAAAAUUCAUUUGCUUAACCCCUCAUAGUGACUUUUAAGCAAAGAUUUAAGCUUUUCUUUACAGUGAAUCUCUCUGCUAGAAGGAAAUAGCUGGGAAGAAUUUAAUGAUCAGGGUAAUCCAUUAUCAUUUUCUACACGUGGAAACUUUUUGUUUUGGAUAUUGUAUCUUUUUCCUAUCUAAGUGUUCAUAUUUUUUCCUGAAGAAACCACUGUGUAAACAACAAAUUUUAAUUUUGAAUGAGAUCAUUUCAGAGAAUUAUGAAGAUGAUUAGAAGUUUUAAUUUUUAUAAUCACCUAUGAAAUAUUCUCUUUAUAUUUCUGUUAAUAAGUAAAUUUUGUACUGAUUAAGUAAGACAUUUGAGUCAAAUUGGUUAAUAGUAAAAUGAAAGGUACAUCUAAUUCUAAACCUUAAUUAGACAUUGGUACCAGUUCCCCAGAGGAAAAUGUGGGGUAACUUUGUUUUGUAUGCUGAGGUUUAGAAGUGGUGGAUAAAGGGUAUCCCUAUAUAAAUAAAGUGCUCAACAAUGUGCAAUGAUUGUAAAUUUAGUAAGAUAGUACAGCCAUUUCAUGAAUGCUUUACCAUUUUACAUAGUACCUAUUACAAAACACCUUUCUUGUAUCAAUAUACUUCAGGUGUUGCUGUUAACAUUUACAUGAUAUUUAUUUUAACCAAAAUGUUAUUCAUAUUAAAUGUUUUUUCUUUAAAAUGAAUGUAUUAUGUUUAUAACCCACAAAUGCGUAAUUAUUCCUAUGCCUCAUAUUUCAAUAGUACUGUAAUAUGAACUUCUUUUGUGAAAUACUUUUAUUUUGUUAUGCUUCAAAUACACAUACUAAAAAGAUUCUGUUGUUAGCUUUGAAAAUUGUAUAAUAUCCUAAUAUAAAUAAAAAUAUAAAAUUAAAAAAUGGGUACAAUAAAA